GCGGAGGACGCGGCACUACGAGCUUUCUCGUAGCACGGGCCAGUCCUGCUAUGAGAAAGCACGUAACAGUAAUAAAUCCUCAGA
rnacentral:pre_miRNA from 1 species